ACGAGUAAAGAUGCUCGUUACGCGCGGCAGGACGGAAAGACCCCGGGACCUUUACUAUAGCUUGGUAUUGGUGCUUGGUUCGGUUUGUGUAGGAUAGGUGGGAGACUGUGAAGCCCUCACGCCAGUGUGGGUGGAGUCAUCGUUGAAAUACCACUCUGAUCGUACUGAGUGUCUAACCUCGGACCGUGAUCCGGUUCAGGGACAGUGCCUGGUGGGUAGUUUAACUGGGGCGGUUGCCUCCCAAAGGGUAACGGAGGCGCCCAAAGGUUCCCUCAGCCUGGUUGGCAAUCAGGUGUCGAGUGCAAGUGCACAAGGGAGCUUGACUGUGAGACCGACGGGUCGAGCAGGGACGAAAGUCGGGACUAGUGAUCCGGCACUGGCUGGUGGAAGCGGUGUCGCUCAACGGAUAAAAGGUACCCCGGGGAUAACAGGCUGAUCUUGCCCAAGAGUCCAUAUCGACGGCAUGGUUUGGCACCUCGAUGUCGGCUCGUCGCAUCCUGGGGCUGGAGUAGGUCCCAAGGGUUGGGCUGUUCGCCCAUUAAAGCGGUACGCGAGCUGGGUUUCUAGCUAGCUAGCCCUCGCUUGCCCUCCACCCCCCACGAG
rnacentral:ncRNA from 1 species